rnacentral:rRNA from 1 species
UGGGGAAUUUUGGACAAUGGGCGAAAGCCUGAUCCAGCAAUGCCGCGUGUGUGAAGAAGGCCUUCGGGUUGUAAAGCACUUUUGUCCGGAAAGAAAUCCUUGGCUCUAAUACAGUCGGGGGAUGACGGUACCGGAAGAAUAAGCACCGGCUAACUACGUGCCAGCAGCCGCGGUAAUACGUAGGGUGCAAGCGUUAAUCGGAAUUACUGGGCGUAAAGCGUGCGCAGGCGGUUUGCUAAGACCGAUGUGAAAUCCCCGGGCGUCAACCUGGGAACUGCAUUGGUGACUGGCAGGCUAGAGUAUGGCAGAGGGGGGUAGAAUUCCACGUGUAGCAGUGAAAUGCGUAGAGAUGUGGAGGAAUACCGAUGGCGAAGGCAGCCCCCUGGCCAAGUACUGACGCUCAUGCACGAAAAGCGUGGGGGAGCAAACAGGAUUAGAUACCCUGGUAGUCCACGCCCCUAAACGAUGUCAACUAGUUGUUGGGGGAUUCAUUUUCCUUAGUAACGUAGCUAACGCGUGAAGUUGACCGCCUGGGGAGUACGGUCGCAAGAUUAAAACUCAAAUGAAUUGACGGGGU